CGGGGUGCACCAGGCGCGAAAACUUUACAAUGCUGGCAACAGCGAUAAGGGGACCUCGAGUGCCAGGAUACAAUCUUGGCUGUCGCGAUGCCUAAAAAGCAUUGCAUAGCAAGGGCCGGGCAAGACCGGUGCCAGCCGCCGCGGUAACACCGGCGGCUCGAGUGGUAACCGCUAUUAUUGGGUCUAAAGGGUCUGUAGCCGGCCGGAUAAGUCUUUUGGGAAAUCCAGCUGCUCAACAGUUGGGCUUUCAGAAGAUACUGUUCGGCUCGAGACCGGGAGAGGUGAGAGGUACUUCAGGGGUAGGGGUGAAAUCUUGUAAUCCUUGAAGGACCACCAGUGGCGAAGGCGUCUCACCAGAACGGAUCUGACGGCAAGGGACGAAAGCUAGGGGCACGAACCGGAUUAGAUACCCGGGUAGUCCUAGCCGUAAACGAUACUCGCUAGGUGUCAGCCACGGUGCGACCGUGGUUGGUGCCGUAGGGAAGCCGUGAAGCGAGCCACCUGGGAAGUACGGCCGCAAGGCUGAAACUUAAAGGAAUUGGCGGGGGAGCACAAGGGCGAUUCGC
rnacentral:rRNA from 1 species